rnacentral:lncRNA from 1 species
UUGAUAACAGAAGGGGUGUUUGUGUCUAUAACCUCUCCUCAGGCUCUGGACAAGGCCUACCACAGUGGAUACAGAGACGGCCUUCACUUCCUACAAACCAGUGACCUGGUCCCAUGUCUGCCACUUCUUAACACACCAUCAGAGCCUCACUUCUCACCUCCUCCUGAUGGAUGGACAGAUCUGGAGACAGAUCUGGAGGAGGAGGAGAAGGAGGAGGAGGAGGAGGAGAAGGAGGAGCAGAUAGAGGGGAGGCAGAUGAAGAGAUGGGAGCAAAAGGAGGAUGAUGAUGAUGAAGAGGAGGAGGAGGAGGAAGAAGAAUGGGUAGAUGAGGAGAAUGUGUGGUCCUCCCAGACAGAGACCAGAGGCAGUCAGAGAAACUGUUAUCUUGAAGGGGGAGAUCUACCUUGGCAUCUGGCAAGCCUGGAGCAGGCCAUUUACCUAGCCCUGCCCACCUGGAUAAACACAGCGUUGCUAUGCAACAUCAUGGAGUUGCUGUGGACUCAUCCCCUACUCCAUGUGAUGUCAUAUCUGCUCCUCCCCUUCACCGCGCUACUCAGCUUCCUGAUUGAAAAUACACACAGGUAAGAAAUCAAAUCAAAUCAAAUCAAAUCAAAUUUUAUUUGUCACAUACACAUGGUUAGCAGAUGUUAAUGCGAGUGUAGCGAAAUGCUUGUGCUUCUAGUUCCGACAAUGCAGUAAUAACGAGCA